GAAGAAGUAGCACACGUAGGCAAUGAUAAGUUUCUUGUUACAACAUGGUAUCUGUUUUAGCAGGUAACCUCCGAAGGAAGUUUUGGGGCAGGGAAGGAAGUUUUGCCCUCAUCCUUGUAGGCCUCAUCACAUAAGUUCCCAUAAGGAUGAUCAAGUACCUCAAAGAAUACAAAUAUACCACAAACCCACCAAUCACACAAAAUACCAGAAACAUUAAGGUAGCUCUGGGAUCCCUCCAGCUCAGCACAGAAUGCACCCUCUCCAACUGAGUUGCCAAGUCGCCCAUCAUUGUCAUCAGCCUCCCUGCCAUGCUUCUCAAUUUAUCAUACCUUUUCUUUACAACUUCACCUGCCUUGGGCGUUGGAAAUGGAUCCAACUCAUCAGGAUGUGCGGUUUCAGCAUGGGAUAGUUUGGUAUCCAUGUGAGGUGGAUGUCUAGGCCUCUUUAGAUACCUCCAAACUCCAACCAUAAACAAGGAGAAAAAGCAUGCUGGUAGCAUUAGUCUUGGGGAGAUAACUAGGACAAGGAACCCCCAGUAAACUGCUAUUGUUGCUACCGGAUUCUUCCAUUGGCAUAUACUAUCAAACCAUUUCCAAAAUCCAACAAUACCACUCAAGCAUCUCAUAACUCUCUCACAGUUUGCUUUUCCUCUUCUCAGGCUCCGCAUGUUUGCACCUGUAUCCAGCAUAUACUCCACAACCUCCUUCUUCAGAGGUGGAUCGACACGUCCCAGCCUUAAACAGACAACUUAAAU
rnacentral:misc_RNA from 1 species